UACGUAGGGUGCAAGCGUUGUCCGGAAUUAUUGGGCGUAAAGAGCUCGUAGGCGGUCUGUUGCGUCCGCUGUGAAAACUCGGGGCUUAACCCCGAGCCUGCAGUGGAUACGGGCAGACUAGAGGUAGGUAGGGGAGAAUGGAAUUCCCGGUGUAGCGGUGAAAUGCGCAGAUAUCGGGAGGAACACCGGUGGCGAAGGCGGUUCCCUGGGCCUUACCUGACGCUGAGGAGCGAAAGCGUGGGGAGCGAACAGG
rnacentral:rRNA from 1 species